rnacentral:rRNA from 1 species
AGAGUUUGAUCAUGGCUCAGAUUGAACGCUGGCGGCAUGCUUUACACAUGCAAGUCGAACGGCAGCACGGGUGCUUGCACCUGGUGGCGAGUGGCGAACGGGUGAGUAAUGCAUCGGAACGUACCCAGUAGUGGGGGAUAGCCCGGCGAAAGCCGGAUUAAUACCGCAUAUUUCCUGAGGGAGAAAGCGGGGGACCUUCGGGCCUCGCGCUACUGGAGCGGCUGAUGUCGGAUUAGCUAGUUGGUGGGGUAAAGGCUCACCAAGGCGACGAUCCGUAGCUGGUCUGAGAGGAUGAUCAGCCACACUGGGACUGAGACACGGCCCAGACUCCUACGGGAGGCAGCAGUGGGGAAUUUUGGACAAUGGGGGCAACCCUGAUCCAGCCAUGCCGCGUGAGUGAAGAAGGCCUUCGGGUUGUAAAGCUCUUUCAGGUGGAAAGAAAUCACUAUCCCGAAUACGGAUGGUGGAUGACGGUACCAUCAGAAGAAGCACCGGCUAACUACGUGCCAGCAGCCGCGGUAAUACGUAGGGUGCGAGCGUUAAUCGGAAUUACUGGGCGUAAAGCGUGCGCAGGCGGUUGUGUAAGACAGGUGUGAAAUCCCCGGGCUUACCUGGGAA